GGGGAAUCUUGGUCAAUGGGCGCAAGCCUGAACCAGCGACGCCGCGUGAGUGAUGAAGGCCUUCGGGUUGUAAAGCUCUGUGGGGAGGAAAGAAAAAACCAAGUCGAAUAGGCUUGGGAAUUGACGGUACCUCCUUAGCAAGCACCGGCUAACUCUGUGCCAGCAGCCGCGGUAAGACAGAGGGUGCAAACGUUGCUCGGAAUUACUGGGCGUAAAGCGCGUGUAGGCGGAUAGGCAAGUCCGGCGUGAAAGCCCUAGGCUCAACCUAGGAAUUGCACUGGAAACUGCCUGUCUUGAGUACUGGAGAGGAAAGCGGAAUUCCUGGUGUAGAGGUGAAAUUCGUAGAUAUCAGGAGGAACACCGGUGGCGAAGGCGGCUUUCUGGACAGUUACUGACGCUGAGACGCGAAAGCGUGGGGAGCAAAC
rnacentral:rRNA from 1 species